rnacentral:rRNA from 1 species
GACGAACGCUGGCGGCGUGCUUAACACAUGCAAGUCGAACGGAAAGGCCUGCUUUCCCUUGUGGAUUGCGGGUACUCGAGUGGCGAACGGGUGAGUAACACGUGAGUGAUCUGCCCCCAACUUGGGUAUAAGCCUGGGAAACUGGGUCUAAUUCCCGAUAGGACUGCAGGGUGGUGCCGGUGGUGGCAAACGAUCUUCUAGUGGUUGGGGGUGCGCCGGCGGCCUAUCAGGUUGUUGGUGGGGUAAUUGCCUACCAAGGCGGCGACGGGUAGCCGGCCUGAGAGGGUGGACAGCCGCAUUGGGACUGGGUCACGGCCCCGACGCCUACGGGAGGCAGCGGUGGGGAAGAUUGGGCAGAGGGCGGAAGCCUGAUGCAGCGCGGCCGUGUGGGGGAUGACGGCCUUCGGGUUGUAAACUCCUUGCGACCGAGAGGAAGCCACCUGGUUGGGAGGGUGGUGACGGUAGUGGUAGAAGAAGCACCGGCUAACUACGUG